rnacentral:rRNA from 1 species
AGAGUUUGAUCCUGGCUCAGAUUGAACGCUGGCGGCAUGCUUUACACAUGCAAGUCGAACGGGAGUGGGGCAACCCACUUCAGUGGCGAACGGGUGAGUAACAUAUCGGAACGUAUCCUCGAGUGGGGGAUAACUCCGAGAAAUCGGAGCUAAUACCGCAUGAGAUCUCAGGAUGAAAGCGGGGGACCGAAAGGCCUCGCGCUGGAGGAGCGGCCGAUAUCUGAUUAGCUAGUUGGUGGGGUAACGGCCUACCAAGGCUACGAUCAGUAGCUGGUCUGAGAGGAUGAUCAGCCACACUGGGACUGAGACACGGCCCAGACUCCUACGGGAGGCAGCAGUGGGGAAUUUUGGACAAUGGGCGCAAGCCUGAUCCAGCCAUGCCGCGUGAGUGAAGAAGGCCUUCGGGUUGUAAAGCUCUUUCGGACGGAAAGAAAUCGCCUGGGCCAAUACCCUGGGUGGAUGACGGUACCGUAAGAAGAAGCACCGGCUAACUACGUGCCAGCAGCCGCGGUAAUACGUAGGGUGCGAGCGUUAAUCGGAAUUACUGGGCGUAAAGCGUGCGCAGGCGGUGAUUUAAGUCAGAUGUGAAAGCCCCGGGCUUAACCUGGGAACUGCGUUUGAAACUGGAUCGCUAGAGUUUAGCAGAGGGGGGUAGAAUUCCACGUGUAGCGUGAAAUGCGUAGAUAUGUGGAGGAACACCGAUGGCGAAGGCAGCCCCCUGGGCUAGAACUGACGCUCAUGCACGAAAGCGUGGGGAGCAAACAGGAUUAGAUACCCUAGUAGUCC